AUAUACUGAUUUAUAGCAACUGUUUAGCAUAGUCAUUAGUACUCCUGGAUCCAUUCUGAUGACUCCUAGUAGAUGGUGGUACAUUAGUGUUCAAGCCAUAUGUGAAGGUUCCUUGAGCUUGCAUUUCAGUACCUACAUACGUUUGCACAUCUAUCACAUCAUAUGCAGCCCAGAUGCCUCACUAUAAGUUUUUUUCUUAGACUUGAAGU
rnacentral:lncRNA from 1 species